GUACAAGCUGUGUAGCAUAAAAGGGGCUGACACAGAGAAAUCAGGGUUCAUUUUUCCUCUUUCUAAUUUUCCCUUUUCGGAUGAGCCUCAGCUGCACACAGGGAAAUUCACUGACUGAAGAUAUCUUUACCAGCUGGUGCUGCAGACGACCACCUUGUACCCAAACCAGCAACCAACUCACAAGUCAAAGGAAUCAUGAGGGUUCAGAGUGCCUGUUUGCUGCUGCUGCUGCUCUGUGCUGCUGUGCUCUCGCAAACUUACGAUGAUUUCAAAAGGAAACACAUCCUUAAAUCAUGUGACGACAUGAUGAAAACUGUCAAUGACGACAGUCAAUGCAAGCCAGUAAACACAUUUAUCAUAGCGAAUGAAGAAGAAGUUAAGGCUUUGUGUAAAGGUAAAGACAAUCGAACCAUCACGUACAAAUUUGAUGUUAUUGACUGUAAGAGGAAAAAGAAAAAGCCUUGUGAAUACAAGGCUCGACCACUCGAAGGAGAGGAGAAGAAGAUAAAAUGUGAAAAUUCUGAACCUGUACAUCUUGAGAGAGGCAUAUAUGACGAUUUUGAUUAUGACAUUGAAAAUUAAAGAUUGUUGAGUUGUUUUUUCAGUUUUCUUUGCUGUACGAUCUUUACCUUCCAGUAUAAAGCAUCUUGACGUGACUGUUGUUGUGAUCUGGCGCUGUAUAAAAAAAACUGAACUGAACUAACAAAGACUCAGAAAAAUUUUAGCUAUGCCACAAACCCUUUAAUGUUGCCUUUGCUAAGUUUUGAUUAUUUGUUUUCGAUUGUUUCAUUGUUUAUUCAUGCUUUCUUUUUUACUUCUUUGUGUAACGUUUAUGGGUCAAAAUGUUAAAAAUGUAUUUGCAAGUGAUGACAUUUGCAAAUUAGUAUUUUUCAAUUUUAUCUGCAUAUUUCUGAAAAAUAAACCACAUUCACAUUUUGCUUUAAAGCACAAAAUAAGCAUUUCUGAGUACUUCUCUGAGGACCAUCUCCGGACAUUGGUUCUCUCUAUGCAUAUCUGGUCUGCAGCUAAUUGAAAGGCUUGUAUGAAGUUGUUUUUUGAUCAUUCGAAAUCUGCAUGUGUGAUAAAUAAAGAGGCAG